ensembl:rRNA 5S_rRNA 5S ribosomal RNA
GCUUACGGCCAUACCAGCCCAAGAACGCCUGUCUCGUCUGAUCUCGGAAGCUAAGAAGGCUUGGGCCUGGUUAGUACUUGGAUGGGAGACCUCCUGGGAAUACCAGGUGCUGUAAGCU